CCACCCCGGGAAUCAAAUCAAUAACGAACUCGACUUUCCGGUCCGGUGGCAAUCCCGGUAACUCCGCCGGAAAUACAUCCGAAAACUUACACGCUACCUGAAUACCACUAAGUUCUAGGUACACCUUUUGGGCUUCUACGAUUGUCGCCAAGUAGGCUACACAUCCACCCUUAAUUAUUUUUCUCGCUCUCGCCGCCGAUACAGUUGCCGCGAAGCGCUUGCUUUUACACGCCCGGUAUACUAACUCUUCUU
rnacentral:lncRNA from 1 species